AGUCAUAUGCUUGUCUCAAAGAUUAAGCCAUGCAUGUCUCAGUACAAGCCGAAUUAAGGUGAAACCGCGAAAGGCUCAUUAAAUCAGUUAUGGUUCCUUAGAUCGUACCCACAUUUACUUGGAUAACUGUGGUAAUUCUAGAGCUAAUACAUGCAAACAGAGCUCCGACCGGAGACGGGAGGAGUGCUUUUAUUAGAUCAAAACCAAUCGGCGGCGGGCGCGUUCGCGCGUCCGUUCGCCGCUCAACCUGGUGACUCUGAAUAACUUUCCGCUGAUCGCACGGUCUCGCACCGGCGACGCAUCUUUCAAAUGUCUGCCUUAUCAACUGUCGAUGGUAGGUUCUGCGCCUACCAUGGUCGUAACGGGUAACGGGGAAUCAGGGUUCGAUUCCGGAGAGGGAGCCUGAGAAACGGCUACCACAUCCAAGGAAGGCAGCAGGCGCGCAAAUUACCCACUCCCGGCACGGGGAGGUAGUGACGAAAAAUAACGAUACGGGACUCAUCCGAGGCCCCGUAAUCGGAAUGAGUACACUUUAAAUCCUUUAACGAGGAUCAAUUGGAGGGCAAGUCUGGUGCCAGCAGCCGCGGUAACUCCAGCUCCUAUAGCGUAU
rnacentral:rRNA from 1 species